rnacentral:rRNA from 1 species
AGUGAACGCUGGCGGCGUGCCUAAUACAUGCAAGUCGAACGCGAAAGUCCUUCGGGAUGAGUAAAGUGGCGCACGGGUGAGUAAUACAUGGGAACGUGCCCUCAAAUGGGGAAUAACGUUUGGAAACGAACGCUAAUACCGCAUAGUCUCGCAAGAGUAAAGGUGGCGCCCGCAAGGGGCUACCGUUUGAGGAUCGGCCCAUGUCCCAUUAGCUAGUUGGCGGGGUAAAAGCCCACCAAGGCGACGAUGGGUAACUGGUCUGAGAGGAUGAUCAGUCACACUGGAACUGAGACACGGUCCAGACUCCUACGGGAGGCAGCAGUAGGGAAUAUUGCACAAUGGGCGCAAGCCUGAUGCAGCAACGCCGCGUGAGUGAAGAAGGCCCUUGGGUUGUAAAGCUCUUUCAGCUGGGAAGAUAAUGACGGUACCAGCAGAAGAAGCCCCGGCUAACUCCGUGCCAGCCGCCGCGGUAAAAC